rnacentral:lncRNA from 1 species
GGUGCAUUUUUUGACUAAAAAUGGCAUUGGUGAAAUAUGUGACGACCAGACGGUGGCUCGAUAAUAUUUUAUGAUUUUUGCUAAAAUAAACUAACUGACAGAAGCUGUGUCAGUUGACAUAUCGAAUGCAUUAGAUGAGAUUGAAAGAAUCUGAGGUGAACCAGUAGAAAAGCUUGAAGCCAUUCCUUUAGGAGAUGAUUCAAAAAAAAUGAUCC